rnacentral:lncRNA from 1 species
CAUAAUUAAGAAUAUUAAUAAUUAUAAUAAAUUUAUAAAUAUAAUAAAAUAAAUAUUAUUCAUUAAAUAUAUUUUUUAUUAGUUUUGUAAUUAAAAACUAUAAUUCUUUAAAUAAAGAUAAAAUUGUAAUUUGAAACUAUUUACUCCCAAUCCAAGACAAAGUAAACACAUAAAUUGGAUUCUGAUCUCUAUUCCAUGCUUCCAUUCUAGUGUAAGUAAACAACAUACUCCCACUCCCAUUCCACACUCCUAAUCCAAGGAUUCCCACUCCUCAGGAUUCCCACUCUAAUCCAAAAAGUAAACGCAGCAAUAAAUGCAUAGGGAGACUUAAACUCCCUACAUAAAGAACUCAAACUCACAUAGUAAUUUAUCAUAUUACUACAAGGAUGGCAAUGGGGGAAGGAGAGAAGGGGGCUGGCAUCCUCGUACCCAUCCUUGAAAUUCUGCAUAUAUCUUUGUCCCAUUCCUGUUUCCAUCAUAAUUGCUUGAGGGGAGAGGAUGGCAAUGCCUGACGAUCGCCGAUCCUCAAAUAACUAAAAUAUGUUUUUAGUUUUUGAACUUAAUUUAAUCAUACUAACCUAAAAAUGUAUAAAAUAAAAUGAGAAUAAUCACAAAUGGGUCUUAUUUCAUUAUGCUCCAUGAAAAUUUUGGUAUAUAUGAUAUUCGAAUAAUGUUUUUCAAAAUAAAAUUCAAAUAAUGUGAUUUGUGUACAAUAUUGAUGUGAGUGUUGUCCACAAGCAAUGACACCUUUUGGCGAUCAAGUAUGACGCUACGAAUGCCGCAUAUCAGGCUAUUGCCUGACAAUGCAAAGAGCUAGGCUACUAAACUAAUAACGAUGCGACGUACUACUGUAUUAUAAUGAGAUGAGUGCUAGUCGUGGCAUGAAUAAUUUAGAAAAAAUAAGUAAGACUAUGAGAGGGUGGCUUAGAGUUUGAUUUGUGGAUCGUGGGAGUUCUGGACUUUCGGCCAUAGAUAAGUUUGAAUUACAUUAAAGUCUCUAUAUUAACUAAUAUUUAUAUUAUUUAUAUAAAUAUUUUGAUAUUUGUUAUUUGCACUAAUGUUUAAUAUUUUACAAUUUAAAUUUUAUGUUUUUUCACUAAUAAUUCUAGAAAUAUAAAUUAUAUAUUAUAAUGAGAAAUGGGGCCUUUGUGAAUAAGAAAUUGUGUAAAAAAAUCGUCUUUGUCAUUUUUCAAAGAAGAAAUUAAGUAUAAAAUCAUUCCUUACCACCCUCGAAUUAAAAAAAAAAAUCCCCAAAAAUCUGUUCGCGUGGGAAUUUUUGCCAUUCGUAAUUAAGAAAUAAUCCCCAUAAGUUUGCAAUUAAAGGUCAAUUCUAUUGCAUUUUGGACCUUUCUUUUUUGUUGGAAAGGAACUAUUAGUGAUUUAAUUUGACAAAAACGUUUGAAUUAAUUAGUUUAUUGUGGCUGCCCCCCGCAUAUCCACGAUGAAAAAGAGCUGACAAUCAGGAACGCCUGUCCAAUUUUCUUGCGAUGUGUGGAAAGCUCAGCAACAAUUAUAUGGAUUAUUUUAUUGGCAAAUGCUAUGUUAUAAUUAAUGUAACAUACACACUCAACAACAACCACAUAAAUUGUGUGGGUCCAUCAUUUGUGUGGUUGUUGUUGAGUGUGUAUGUUACAUUAAUUGUAACAUAGGGGCUCCCUUAUGUUAUUGGUCUUAAAUAAUUGAAUUGUAAGGUUUGGUGGGCUAAAGUGGAAAUGCUUUUGUCAUUAUAGUGGAAUUAUUAUUUUGGUUAACGACAGUUCAAGUUCUGGUAUUAUUAUUAUUCUAAUUAAAUUAUGAAUGACCAAUCCGCCACCGUUGAAUUUACCUAAUUAUAUGAUGCUUAUUAAAUAUAGAUUGUUGUGGUGUUUUUAUGGCGUCUCAUCAAGAAUGUCACUUACCUCCUUGAUGUCUUCAACGAAGAAUUUAGUAUUUCAAGAUCAUUUAUGAGCAGGCAGAACCAUGCAAAGAAAACUUCUGUGCUUUACAUUCACAAGCUCAUUUAAUUUGCUGAACUGCGGCUGCUCCAAGUUCUUUCCUCAUUUAUAUUCUGAAAGUAUUCAAAGAUUUAUUGAGCUUAAUUACUUUUCCCUGGGGCUAGACUAUAUGGGCAGCGGCUAUGUUAUUGACACUGCCGAAAGCUUGCUAAUUACAAUCUCGGCCACAUUCACAGAUUGUAGCUGUUCUUGUUGUAAGUUUUGCUUCUGCUCUAAUAAUGUUAAUCUUAAUCCAUUGCGGUUAUGUUGUUUAUGCGAAUUGAGCCAAGCAACAAAGGUUUAAGACGUUGAAAUUACGUGCUCAGGCUAGUUAAGUGUCUAUUCAUGAAGUAAUGUGUUUUUUUUUCACAAAACAAUACAUUCCUUCAAAUAAAAGCACCUUUUUUUAAAAUAGAUUACACCCCUUCAAAUAGACAUUUUAUGGAGAAACAUUGCACCUUUCAAUCAUUUAAUUUUAUUUAUUUAUUUAUUUAAAAUAAACUAAUUAAUUAAUUACGGAGGAGAUAUAUUUCAGUUUAUCGUUUUAGUGCUGCAGCACCAAAGCUCUAUCUUCUUGUUGCUGUAGCAUAGUUUUUUCUGGUGCUACAGCAUCAAUGUUCUCUCAUAUGUAUGAUAAUAAAAUAUUACAAUCUCUCUUACAUAGGGUACACAAAACUUUCUCCCAUUGAAAGUAUAUAUUUAUAAGUAUGGUAGUUCUCUCUUUUAAACGUAAAUAUUUUUAAGUAUUAGGUAUGCAUUUCGUUUGGUAGAUUCUACUCCAAAUACCAAAGAACUCAUUGCCAUUAAUUUCCAAAAGUAGAGAGGGGGGGGGGGGGUGGAAGAAGAGUAGGGCUUUCAUCCUUAUUUAAAUGGUUGCUACAAAUUUGGCUAUGUGAAAAACUUUCGUUGCUCUUACCAGAGCUUGGGCAAAGUCUGCCUAAGUCUCCAGCCGAGAUAAUAGCGAUGGCCGCCGUAUUGAAUAUGUUGAACUUGGAAUAUGGUCCAUAAUCUCAAAUUGCAUUCAUUUUUCAUUCUUUUUUUCUAUUGAUCCAGCUGCCAACUAGUCAGUAGGAGUUUGGUGGCGUUAGAUGUGGAAUUAAGUUCUGUUUUGCUACUGAUAAAGCCGAGUCCUUUCUUCAAUUUCACAAUUUUUGUUAGGUUCAUAACUCGACGGUGGCAUGGUUUCGUAUUAAAAACUUUUGUCCAACUGAGAUAUCACGGCAUCAACACCCAUCGUUCGCGAUAAUUGGAUUCCCAAAUGAAAGCUGCUGUGGAAAGACCCAUUUGAUAUGACUUGCAUUUAUUUGUUUAGUUAUUUUUUUCAAACAUUGUCAGCCCAAGUCUUCCGAGUGUAUACUUUUUCUAAAUUGCACUAUACAAUUUUUUUUUAAAAAAAUUAUUUGAA